GACGAACGCUGGCGGCGUGCUUAACACAUGCAAGUCGUACGGUAAGGCCCUUUCGGGGGUACACGAGUGGCGAACGGGUGAGUAACACGUGAGUAACCUGCCCACAACUUUGGGAUAACGCUAGGAAACUGGUGCUAAUACUGGAUAUGUGCUCCUGCUGCAUGGUGGGGGUUGGAAAGCUCCGGCGGUUGUGGAUGGACUCGCGGCCUAUCAGCUUGUUGGUGGGGUAGUGGCCUACCAAGGCGGCGACGGGUAGCCGGCCUGAGAGGGUGACCGGCCACACUGGGACUGAGAUACGGCCCAGACUCCUACGGGAGGCAGCAGUGGGGAAUAUUGCACAAUGGGCGCCAGCCUGAUGCAGCAACGCCGCGUGCGGGAUGACGGCCUUCGGGUUGUAAACCGCUUUCAGCAGGGACGAAGCUUUUUGUGACGGUACCUGCAGAAGAAGCACCGGCUAACUACGUG
rnacentral:rRNA from 1 species